rnacentral:rRNA from 1 species
UAACGAAGCGCAACCCUUACUCGUUAGUUGCCAGCUGGUAAAGCAGGGGACUCUAGCGAAACUGCCACCGUAAGGUGAGAGGAAGGUGGGAUGACGUCAAAUCAGCACGGCCCUUAUGUCCAGGGCUACACACGUGUUACAAUGGCCGGCACAGAGGGCAGCUACCUGGUGACAGGAUGCUAAUCUCGAAAACCGGUCUCAGUUCGGAUCGAAGUCUGCAACUCGACUUCGUGAAGCUGGAUUCGCUAGUAAUCGCGCAUCAGCCAUGGCGCGGUGAAUACGUUCCCGGGCCUU